UACAGUGGCGUACGGGUGAGUAACACGUGGAUCAUCUACCUCUUGGUGGGGAAUAACCCUGGGAAACCGGGGCUAAUACCGCAUAAGCCUGCAAAGGGAAAGCAGCAAUGUGCCGAGAGAGGAGUCCGCGGCCGAUUAGCUGGUUGGUAGGGUAAUGGCCUACCAAGGCAAUGAUCGGUAGCCGGCCUGAGAGGGCACACGGCCACACUGGCACUGAAACACGGGCCAG
rnacentral:rRNA from 1 species